rnacentral:lncRNA from 1 species
UUCCAACCGAGGGUUCUACUCAAUUCCUGGACUACUUACACAAUACUUGAAGAUCUGUUUCUGGGUAUUAGAGAUUGAGGAAGAAUUCAAUAUCUCCGAUUGAAAUUAGGCAUUUCGAUUAAGUGUCCAAAGCUGUAUUAUCGUUCAUACUAUUCAGUCAUACACAACGUAUCUUCAUGGUUGAGAGAAGGUAAAUUUUUAUUUUCAAUUGCGAUAACUAUUAGAUAGAUUAGGAACUUUUUUCAUAUCAAGUCAACUUUGAAUCGUGGUAUAAACACAGUUCCAUUUUUAAUUUCCUGUCAUUUUUAAUUGUGUCCGUUUAUAGUUGCGUUUUGAGUCAUCUUGCUUACAAAUUACGAUUUGAACUGAAAGCCAUAUAAAAAUCUUUGCUAAAAUGACUCUAGUAGGUUGUUCUGCAACUUUAAACCCAAGCUCAUGAAUGCGUGUAAGUGUAUAUUUGAUUUGAGAGACUUACAGCUGAUUAAUUUUGCAUUACUUUGGUUUUCAUAAGACAAUAACAAAUAAUCAUAAGCUAUAUAUGCCAAGAUAAGUUUUAAUGUCUACUCUGUAGUAAACCUGAAAUGGGUAUAUUGUAUAAUUUAUAUAGUUUUCUGUGGAGUUUAUUAUUAAUUCCCUUAUAAUUGUUUCGAUUUUAGGUAACUACAUGAGCUUUGUUGCCAUUAACAGUAUAACUAAAGGAAGGAACGAUUUUAGCAAAUCUUUUCAUCGUCUGGAAACAUGAGGUUAGUUCCCUCUGAUAAGCUAAAAUCAGUUUAUUAGCUUUGGAGAAACUUACUAUUACUAAAUUAUAGAGAAAAGCCAUAAAUAUCAAAUACAUUAUUGAAUUUUGAGAAGCAGGAAAAUAAAAAGUGAAAUGAGAAUGGCUAAAACACAUUGUGCCUAAAAAAUUAUCCUUCGAGAAACCCUCUUGCCAAACAUGCUUCCUUGUAUGAAUCAUAGAGCACACCAUUGUAGGACCUCAAAUCUUGGUCAGAAGUUGGACCCUUAAGAAACCUGAAAAGGAGGUUGAGGCUUGUUGCACAAUCUAACUUGCUAGAAACAUAGGAAACCCUACGGAUCUUGCUUGUUCUCAGUCUGGGCUUCCACACUUUCUCUUUAGGUUGCCAAGUAUAAUACUCUGGAAUUUCUUCAAACGUAAGAUCUCUGCCUUGAGGGCUGUGUUUGUUUAGAUCAAACCAACAAAGCAGUAAUGGAUGUUGAAAGUCUUUCAUUGUUUGACCAUAAGCCAUUACCACUGAAAGAUUGUUUCUUACUAAGCUUUAUUGGUAGUAGCCGUCGCUUUUAGGUUUCUGUAUUAUGAGCACAAAUGUGUUUUAGUUUUUAUAGAGGAGAUUGUAAUUAGGGUUACUAUAAUUAUUUUCAUUGACUGUUGUGAUACGAUACUAAUGAGUUGUUAUUGUUAAGAUAUUGGAAUAUGCUAAAUAUAUAUCUUAUUUGAAUAUAUAUAUACCAUAAAAUCUCGAAUAUGGGAGGUUUUAUAUGUCCCUUUAUAUGCUAUUGAAAUGAUAACAGUAAAUCUGUAUUAAGUUAGUAUAACACGUUAAACUUUGGUAUGUUAAUAAUUUUGGUAUGUUAAAGUCCUUAUCAAUGAAUGUCGUUAAAAACUUUAUUGUAGAAUGCUAGUAGCAAGGUUUGUGAAAAAUAGAACGAAAUUGGUUGUCAAAAACAGAAAUCUUGAAAAUAAAGAGAUAGUAGCAACUUAAAAGAAAGUAACAUCGCCUUUUCUUCCCUCAAAUGAUCUGCUUCUCGUUUCCUGCAAAUAAUAAAACAGUUUCAGUAAUUCUCUAAAUAUAUAACCUGAGACGACAGAUUUAAAAACAUAUACUCUCUAUAAAUAAAGCUGGAAAUAGUGAUGAAGUACCAGUAGUUCUCUUCUUCCUCCUCUUAAACUUUGUUUCCUUCCAAGUUUUGAAAAACUUCUUUGAAGACAACAUUCAUUGUUUGCCUUUGAGUAACUCCUUCUUUGUCAACAAUUAGCACUUUUAAGCCACUCUUAGAAGUCACUCUAGACAAAGCCACAUACACUUGUCCAUGUGAGAACACUGGCCUUGGCAAAUAAAGUCCUACUUCCUUCAAUGACUGUCCUUGACUCUUAUUGAUCGUCAUUGCAAAAGCAAGUGCUAAAGGAAACUGUCUUCGACGCAUCUUGAACGGAAGCUUUGUAUCAGAUGGUUUUAUCAAAAUCUUUGGAAUCAAAACCAAAUCACCACUUCUAUCUCAUGUGAUCACCUUAGCUUCUAAAACAUGAUAUGCCAUUUGUGUAAUCUGCAGCCUUGUUCCAUUACACAGCCCACCUUUAGGGUCAAGAUUUCUUAACAACAUAACCGGAGCCCCUAUCUUUAGACGUAAGCUAUGGUUGGGUAAUCCAGACACCUUGAUUGUAUUCAAGAAAUCCGGUGUGAAAACAGGAUUGUCAGAUGAGUCGGAAUCUAGGGGAUCUAUGUUGUCAAUACUUAGAUAAAUCUUCUCCUCCCCUGAAUGCACAAACUUCAUAGAGCAUGGAAUACAAGUUAACCAUUACGAUUCUUAAAGCUAUUAGUCAAUACGAACAAUAAUCUAAUUAUGCUACACGUUUGUGAUAUAUAAUUAUUUGGAAAGUAUUAACCUGUUAGUUUCUCCAGCAUGCUUUGAUUGAUUGUAUUAACAUCUUCGUUGGUCGGUGCUAGAAUAGCUCUUUCUUGGAAAAACUUUGUUAUGUUCUUGUCUGCCAGAAGUGAAAUAUCACCGUAUACCUCUCUCGUAAUAGCUUCAAUAGGAUCAGCCACAUCUGUAAUCAAAAGCUCUUGGGGAAUAUCAAUAAGAGCUUCACCAUCAUUAGGUUCUGCUAUUUUACCAUCGCCAACAUCCAGAAUCCAUUUUGAAAAAGCAUCAAUCUCUCUAGCCUCUGUAGGACUCAGCGAGUUGUUUAGUAUGCGCAUAUUCUUUGUCAACUUUAAUACUUUGCAGUGUUCCCAAAGAUAAGAGGCAUUUAAGGAUGACAUAACAAUUUCUGCUCUCCCUGCACCGUUGAUAACUGGUAGGAUUUGUCUAAAAUCUCCUCCAAAAACAACCACCUUACCACCAAAAGGCUUGUUCUCAAAAUUUCCAAGACAAUCAUUCAAACUCCUAUCCAAGUUUUCAAAACAAUAUUUACUCAUCAUGGGAGCUUCAUCCCAUAUUAUCAAAGAAACUUCCUUGAUAAAAUUGGAUAGAUCACCAUUAGGAGUGAUAGUGCAUGAUGUAGAAUCGUCUGGAACUAUAGGGAUGGCAAACCUAGAAUGUGCCGUCCUACCGCCAGGCAGCAACAGAGAAGCUAUCCCACUGGAUGCAGUGUUUAGUACAAUCAUUCCUCUAUAUCUAAUAGCAGCAGAUAAAGUCUUCCAAAUAAAGGUCUUGCCAGUGCCACCAAAUCCAUAUACAAAGAAAACUCCCCCUUUGUCAUUCAACACAGCUUCCAUUAUCUCGUCAAAAACCAUUCUCUGUUCAACAGUUAGCAUCUGUAUCCACACGUCAUGUUUUGCCUUAUGUUCAUCACGGUCAUAUCUCAUCUCUUCCACAAUCAAGCGAUUAGAGUUGUCAAUGCUUUCUCUGGUUGGCUGUGGCAUUUUUUCUAUGCUUGCAAGUGUUCCACCAUUCAUCAACAUUAUAUUCUCUAUUUCAAUGAGAGUAUAAUUUCUUCUAUCAGCAUCUGUCAAGAUUAAAUCUGCAAAAAACCAAAAAAAAAAAACCAAGGUUUAUUAAAAUCUUAUAUAUGUGCAAACGUAUAAUAUACUAUUUAAAAUUGUCAAAGUAAUAACCUGGAUUGUUGUACUCAUUCCUCUUCUUUUCUUGAAUAUCUUCUGAUAGUAGUAACCAUGUUUGUUCCCAAACAUGUUCUGGCCGUGAUAGUGAAUUCGACAAAAUCAUGUUUGCAAACAGAUUUCGUAAUUGGUCAGCAAAACACCAUUGAGUAGCAUCCACAAGGCUGUCUACAUAAAUCUGAUCAUCGUCCAAAAUUCCCCUAACAUGACAUGCUUCUUUGUAUGUACUGUAAACUACACCUUCAUAUGUCUUUAUGGCAUCAAAAGAUAUAGGUCCUCUGACCAAGUUUAGCAAUAUACGCAUAUAAUACUCUGCUUCCAUUCUCUGUGGUACAUAAUUAAUCCUUCCUAGAGAGAAUCCUCUCUGCCUCUUUUUAAACUGCUUAUUCCUCCCAUCCCAAAUAUAAUGAGCCGGAAUCUGAGCGUAUAAGUACUGUCUAGCUUCUUCAUCAUGACUAUUCAAAUAUAGCCAAGCUGUAAACUGCGAAUCUUCAUUCUCUGUUUUCUCCAAUACUUCAUAUAUGUUAGCAUCCUUUUUGAAGUAACACGGUUUCUUACCUUCAACAUGAAAGGAAAGUUUUUGUACCGGUGUUGUUCUAUAUUGGAUUGGGAACUUGAAUAUCCUCCAGAUUGCUUCUGAUGCUGAUACAUACCUAUAUUUGUAAGAAUAAAUAAACGUUUAUAGAAUUAGAGAACAUGCUUGCCAACGUUUGUUAAUAUAUAUGUUUUACAAAGUAUAGAAAACAGACUAACCUGCAGUCAAAGUAGUCUUUUAUCUCAUUUUUUGGCUUUCCUUGGAAGUGGAAUUUACCCCUUUCUCUCCACCAGUACUGUCGCUUUUGUUAGUUGGCUCAACUAUGAAAGCAACACGGUCUGGCCCCUUGUUGAUAUACUUGAAUAAAUAUUUUAUUGAUCCAGUUUGGUUGCACCAUUCUACGUUUAUGUGAGCUCUGUAGCGUAGACACAAUUUCUCGUUAUAAGGGACAACAUAGUGAUUGUCGCAUUUAAAUCCACCUUUCUCAAUGUAGUUCUCUGAACGUCUUCUUCGAUAUACAGGAUAGCCAUCUUUCCCUACUUUAGUGAUCUCAGAAUAGGACUUUGGGUAGAGUUUUGAACACUUACCCUCUACCAUACAUGGUGAAUUGGUAUUAGUUGCACCACAAGGACCAUGUAUCAUAGAAUCUUUUAUGAUUUCAUAUAGCUCUGGCUUGGUUUCUUUAUCCGGUAUCUCAGCACAUAUAAUCUUGUUUAUUUCAUCAGCUGUGGGCAAUUUACUUCUCUGAGCCAUGAAUAACAUAAUAUGAGCGUGUGGUAGACCACGUUUUUGAAACUCCACGGUGUACAUAGCUGGAAAGUAAAACAUUUAUGUUAGUAAUAGCUUGCAAUCUAGAACAUUAUGUAAGAAGAUAUAUGUAAAUUUUAGACAUACCAGCAUUAGUUUUACCAAGAAGCUUCCUGUCAGUCAAAUCCAACAUUAAUGAAUCAAGCUUGAUCUUGAAAAUGCGACAUAUAAUGUCUGGUCUGUCACACGCAUUAAGUCCUCUGGCUUUUACAAAUCUAGUUAUCUCUGGCCACUUAGGAUUACAUGUAAAUGUAAUGAAAAGAUCAGGAAAUCCAUAAUGUUUGCAAACUGCCAUAGCAUCGUAGUAGCUUUGAACCAUAUACCGAGGACCACCAGUGAACGAAGAUGGUAUUGAGACUGGAGUCCCUUGCUGACUCAUAUUUGUAUCACCAGAUUGAGCUGCUUCUUUCACAUCGCUAUAAUUCUGACAUCUAAACUUUGACUGGUUUAUCUUGAUAUAUCUUAGCCGGUUCGUUUCUAUUGCUGUAUAACCAUCAACUAAAUACUGUUGAAACAACCUCCUAGAUAAGAGUAGGGUAUCAGACUCAGCUAACCUUUCCUGUAUACGAAAUGCAAACCACUGUCUCAUGCUAAUACAUUUUGUCUUCCUAGUUUGGGUUUUGGUAGUGUAUCUUUUUUGGAUUCCUGGUCGAAAACCGUCUUCACCAUAGACAUGAAUGAAAGGAUACUGCAAGGAAAAAUAAGAAGGAUGUAUCUCACUUAUUCUCUGUAAGCUUCCAGUUGUUCGCUCUUGAAUGAUGAUAUCACGUUCUGGCAUAGAUUUGACAAAAUCUCCUGGGAUUAAUGCAGCAAUCUCACCAGAUGUAGGAUUUGUGUAGUUUCUGCCAUCCAAACCAACACGAUCAUUAACAAUCCUCAUAUGAAAAGUUUUAUCUCCAGAAGUUUGAAAUCUAUCUCUAGCUGCUCUGAAAUGUUUAACAUAGGGAUUAGCAUCAUCUAGCAUCUUGAUCAAGUUCCCAAUGAUUUCUGGUAGAAGAUUUUUUUUGGUUGAUUGUUGUCGUUGAACCCUUGCCUUUACUGAAAAUAGCAAAUAACAAAAAUUUAAACAUUUAAACAUACGCCUCAAAAAGAAUAGUAUGCACGUCGCUAACACAGCAUAUAACUAACCUCAUAACCGUACUCCUGUUGGCUAUUCAUUUUCUGUAUCAACAAUAUAAAGCUGUGAAAAUUUGGCAUAAUCAUUAUCUUUAGGCUUCAAGCUACCAAUUAGAUGGAAAUUGUUUCCUUGUAACUGAAACAUAUUUGGACCUUUCCCACUGAGCACGCAUUUCUCAACUCUACCACCCAAAUAAGUCAUAGCAAAAACCAUACAAUAACCACGAAGAUUAUCUUGGAAAUGCCUACUUAAUUUAUCAGUACCCGUUAACAGUUUCCUCAAAUAUUCUGGUGCUUUUUUAAAGAGAGGAAGUUUCACUGUGCCUUGCAAACAACACAAUGAGAAAUGUGGUUUUCUUGUGUUCCUCCUCUUGUUUAGCCUUUCAUCAUACCACAUCAUUGCACAAUAUUCACAAUUAUAGUCGGGAUCACCAUGAUCUAGAUAACCUGUUAGACAAAGGAUAAUGUUUUCUGAAAAUUACUCAUAUUAAUACAUUUGGUAAUAAAAAUCCGAAUCUAUAACUAAUACCUGUUACUGCCAUUUUCCUUUGAAUUUUCUUUGUUUUGGGAUGAUUGCUGUUUGGUUUCUUUUGAUUAGUAGAACCUUCUGACUUGUCAAAUACAUGUAUAUCCUCAAUUGAAUCUAUCCCAGGGUUUUCAUCAUCACUGCUUGGUAAGAAAUAAACUUGCUCGCUGUCAUAUUCAUUUUCAUCUAAAAAUUUGGAUUUUAAAGAGUGAGUACUUGAUUAACUCACCAAAACAACAAAACUGGAUUGCUAUAAUAAGUGAAUGAUUGACUGACCUUCAGAAGAUUGUGUCCAUAAACUAUCAUCAAAUUCAUUUUCCAAAUUUCUUGGUUGAGGCAUUGAAUCUUGUGUUUUCUCAAGACUGUGAUUAGUUGUAGAUCUACCAGUGAGAUAUGCUGAAUGAUCAUCUUCAUCUGUAAUAGAUCAAUUGUAAGCUGUUGGUUGAAACUACAAUGAUGUUAAUAUUAAACGCUUAGUAACUUAUAAAUAGAAUAAUGCAUUUCUUACAUGUAGAAUUCAAUGAUGUAAACAUGAUAAGACUUUUUUGCUGCUCGAAAAUUCUUCUACUCUUAAGUCUAUUCCUUGACCCUUCAAUAAUUUUUGCUGAUGCAUCCAUUGCCAUAGUGUGACUUAUUGUUGUUCCUUAUUGGGCGAAAUCUCUACCGUUUGCUGUAUGUAUUUGAUUUGUCAAAUUAGUGUCAAUCCAUAUAAUGAGCAUGAAGUUUAACAUUGGUCUACUAAACUCACCAGUUCGUUUUUCUGCUGUAUUUGCAGAAGGGAGAUGUUGCUUAUGAGGAGUUUUAUAUGUCUCAGCUGAUAUUCCUUCUAAGUUGGUAAGGUCUCUGAAAAUCCUACUAAAUACUCCAUUGAGAGUCUGGACAGAUGAACCAUUAGUAGAUUGCUGUAUGUUGUAUGCUCCAUCUGUAGUGUUUGCUGUAUGUAUUUGAUUUGUCAAAAUAGUGUCAAUCCAUAUAAUGAGCAUGAAGUUUAACAUCUGUUUACUAAACUCACCAGUUCGUUUUUCUGCUGUAUUUGCAGAAGGGAGAUGUUGCUUUUGAGGAGUUUUAUAUGUCUCAGCUGAUAUUCCUUGUAAGUUGGUAAGGUCUCUGAAAACCCUACUAAAUACUCCAUUGAGAGGCUGGACAGAUGAACCAUUAGUAGAUUGCUUCUGAGUAAUGCUGCUUUGUUGUGUAUUAGUAGUAUUCAACUUGUGCCUCUUAGGUUUCACCACACUGUGUGGAUUUUCAUCUGAUUCUUCGUCUCUCUCUCUCAUUUUCCUCCUCUAUAAAACUUAUUGUAAUCUUAGGGGGUGUUAUUAGUUGUUUAAGUUAAAUUCAACUCCAUUAGAUUUUAAAUUCAUAAGACUUUCAAAAUCUGGGUUCAUUGAGACUGAUUUAUUAUUCAUUCUUUAGAUCAGUGGAAGUGUAUUUACACUCACACAUGAUAUCUUUUGGUUUUGAACAAUAGAAUUGAUUUCUAUAACAAAUGAUUUUACAAUUUUCAAUGAAAUUAUACCAAACUUUUACCAUCACGUAUUUUUUUCCCAUUUCAAAUUUCUGUAUUGAAGUCUUAACAUAUCUUUUAAAGAUGAAAUUUUUUUUUUUUUGUUAAAGUGAUCAAAUGAAUCAUACAACAACUGUUAAAACAAUAUACACAUUAACUAGGGAUAAAAAAAAAGACUGGGAAAAAAAUGAUAAAGAGAGAUACAUAUGUGUUGGGUCAUGGGUGAAUGAGUUUGCAAAUAUUGAUAACAUACGUGUAUUACGUUAAAUGAAACUUUUAUUAAUUUAUUAGAUUGUCAAAUCUCAUAUUAGAAGGUUGGUUUUGGGAUUGACAUAAUUUACACAUGAAAUCAGUUUCAGAUUCACUCAAAGCUUUUCAAAUGAAAUCAUUUGUGAAAAUCCACCAACUUGAAUAACAUAAGACUUUAGUUAAUAAUUGUAAGUAUAAGAACCAAUAACACUAGAUUUUAAACUCUUUUAAUGAAGAUUUUGCAAAUAUAAGAACCAAUAACACUAGAUUUUAAACUCUUUUAAUGAAGAUUUUGCAAAUAUAAGAACCAAUAACACUUGAUUUGAGUAAAAUAUUUAAAAUCAUUGAUUAAAUAACAUUAGACAUGGGUUAGAGUUAGACUCUAUUAAAAUCCAUUAUCCAAUAACACCCACUUAGUAUUUUGAAUCUCCCUUUAGAUGGUGUCUAGAAAAGUAUACACGUAAUAAAAAUAAGCUAUUAGGAUCCCUAAAUUUCUGUAAACCACUCCUAACCAUAUGUGAAUCUUGAAAGAUCAUAAUAAACUUUUUAAUUUAUAAUUCGAUGUUUUGGUAAUGAAAUAACUUAUUACCUUUCAACUCAGUCUUUAAAUAUCUUAAGUAGGCCGGUAUAUUCAAUAUAUCAAUAUUAUGUAUUAAUAAUGGUUGAAAUUCUAAAAUGUCAUAAAAUUGUAAUUUUUCCCAUUUCACAGGUACAUGCCAAUUCAGCUCCAUUCUUGUAUGCAGGUGGUCACGACUUGGCUCAAAGAUCAGUUAAAUAAAAAUGAGGUACUUUUUAAAAUGAAGAUGCAAAAAAUUAAAACAAAUUUGUAAUAU